UCAGGAUGAACGCUAGCUACAGGCUUAACACAUGCAAGUCGGGGGGCAGCAUGGUCUUAGCUUGCUAAGAUUGAUGGCGACCGGCGCACGGGUGAGUAACGCGUAUCCAACCUUCCCUAUAGUAGAGAAUAGCCCGGCGAAAGUCGGAUUAAUGCUCUAUGUUGUUCGAAGCGGGCAUCUAAUUUGAACCAAAGGCUUGCCGCUAUAGGAUGGGGAUGCGUCUGAUUAGGUAGUAGGCGGGGUAACGGCCCACCUAGCCGUCGAUCAGUAGGGGUUCUGAGAGGAAGGUCCCCCACAUUGGAACUGAGACACGGUCCAAACUCCUACGGGAGGCAGCAGUGAGGAAUAUUGGUCAAUGGACGAGAGUCUGAACCAGCCAAGUAAGCGUGCAGGAUGACGGCCCUAUGGGUUGUAAACUGCUUUUACCAGGGGAUAAAGUGCGGGACGUGUCCCGUUUUGUAGGUACCUGGUGAAUAAGGACCGGCUAAUUCCGUGCCAGCAGCAGC
rnacentral:rRNA from 1 species